rnacentral:rRNA from 1 species
UAGCCGACCUGAGAGGGUGAUCGGCCACACUGGGACUGAGACACGGCCCAGACUCCUACGGGAGGCAGCAGUAGGGAAUCUUCCGCAAUGGACGAAAGUCUGACGGAGCAACGCCGCGUGAGUGAUGAAGGUUUUCGGAUCGUAAAGCUCUGUUGUUAGGGAAGAACAAGUGCCGUUCAAAUAGGGCGGCACCUUGACGGUACCUAACCAGAAAGCCACGGCUAACUACGUGCCAGCAGCCGCGGUAAUACGUAGGUGGCAAGCGUUGUCCGGAAUUAUUGGGCGUAAAGGGCUCGCAGGCGGUUUCUUAAGUCUGAUGUGAAAGCCCCCGGCUCAACCGGGGAGGGUCAUUGGAAACUGGGGAACUUGAGUGCAGAAGAGGGGAGUGGAAUUCCACGUGUAGCGGUGAAAUGCGUAGAGAUGUGGAGGAACACCAGUGGCGAAGGCGACUCUCUGGUCUGUAACUGACGCUGAGGAGCGAA